rnacentral:rRNA from 1 species
GAUACGGAGCCUAAAAUUUAUAGUGGCGGACGGGUGAGUAACACGUUGGAACCUACCCCGAAGAGGGAGAUAACAACCCGAAAGGGUUGCUAAUACCCCAUAUACUCCGAUUUAUUCGGAGGAAAGCUUUUGCGCUUCGGGAGGGGCCUGCGUAACAUUAGCUUGUUGGUGAGGUAAAAGCUCACCAAGGCUACGAUGUUUAGCUGGUUUGAGAGGAUGAUCAGCCACACUGGGACUGAGAUACGGCCCAGACUCCUACGGGAGGCAGCAGUGAGGAAUAUUCCACAAUGGGGGAAACCCUGAUGGAGCGAUGCCGCGUGCAGGAAGACGCUUUUCGGAGUGUAAACUGCUUUUAAUAGGGAAGAUUAUGACGGUACCUAUCGAAUAAGGACCGGCUAACUACGUGCCAGCAGCCGCGGUAAUACGUAGGGUCCAAGCGUUAUUCGGAAUUACUGGGCGUAAAGCGUACGUAGGCGGUUUGGUAAGUUGGAUGUGAAAUCCUGUGGCUCAACCACAUGGACUGUGUCCAAAACUACCAAACUUGAGCAUAGUAGAGGCAAGUGGAAUUUGCGGUGUAGGAGUGACAUCCGUAGAUAUCGCAAGGAACACCAAUGGCGAAGGCAGCUUGCUGGGCUAUUGCUGACGCUCAGGUACGAAAGCGUGGGGAGCGAACGGGAUUAGAUACCCCGGUAGUCCACGCCGUAAACGAUGAUCACUAACAGUAUGGAGAUUCGACCCUCUGUGUUGUAAAGCUAACGCGUUAAGUGAUCCGCCUGGGGAGUACGGGCGCA